rnacentral:rRNA from 1 species
UCCUACGGGAGGCAGCAGUAGGGAAUCUUCCGCAAUGGACGAAAGUCUGACGGAGCAACGCCGCGUGAGUGAUGAAGGCUUUCGGGUCGUAAAACUCUGUUGUUAGGGAAGAACAAGUGCUAGUUGAAUAAGCUGGCACCUUGACGGUACCUAACCAGAAAGCCACGGCUAACUACGUGCCAGCAGCCGCGGUAAUACGUAGGUGGCAAGCGUUAUCCGGAAUUAUUGGGCGUAAAGCGCGCGCAGGUGGUUUCUUAAGUCUGAUGUGAAAGCCCACGGCUCAACCGUGGAGGGUCAUUGGAAACUGGGAGACUUGAGUGCAGAAGAGGAAAGUGGAAUUCCAUGUGUAGCGGUGAAAUGCGUAGAGAUAUGGAGGAACACCAGUGGCGAAGGCGACUUUCUGGUCUGUAACUGACACUGAGGCGCGAAAGCGUGGGGAGCAAACAGGAUUAGAUACCCUGGUAGUCCACGCCGUAAACGAUGAGUGCCAAGUGUUAGAGGGUUUCCGCCCUUUAGUGCUGAAGUUAACGCAUUAAGCACUCCGCCUGGGGAGUACGGCCGCAAGGCUGAAACUCAAAUGAAUUGACGGA